GGUGCCAUAGCUCAGUUGGUAGAGCAAAGGACUGAAAAUCCUUGUGUCCCCGGUUCGAUUCCUGGU
rnacentral:tRNA from 2 species